rnacentral:rRNA from 1 species
AACGCGAAGAACCUUACCUGGGCUUGAACUACUCGUGGUAAGCUGAUGGAAACAUUGGCUGACCCGCAAGGGAGCGAGCAGAGGUGCUGCAUGGUUGUCGUCAGCUCGUGUCGUGAGAUGUUGGGUUAAGUCCCGCAACGAGCGCAACCCCUACUCGAUGUUGCCACUCCCGCAAGGGAAGCACUCUUCGAGAACUGCCUUCGAUAAGAAGGAGGAAGGUGGGGACGACGUCAAAUCCUCAUGGCCCUUAUGUCCAGGGCUACACACGUGCUACAAUGGCCGGUACAACGGGAAGCAAUACCGUAAGGUGGAGCCAAACCCUGAAAGCCGGCCCCAGUUCAGAUUGUGGGCUGCAACUCGCCCACAUGAAGGCGGAAUCGCUAGUAAUCGCGAAUCAGCAGGUCGCGGUGAAUACGUUCCCGGGCCUUGUA